CAGCGCCACGGUAAUACGAAGGGUGCAAGCGUUAAUCGGAAUUACUGGGCGUAAAGCGUGCGUAGGCGGUGAGUUAAGUCUGCUGUGAAAUCCCCGGGCUCAACCUGGGAAUGGCAGUGGAUACUGGCUCGCUAGAGUGUGUCAGAGGAUGGUGGAAUUCCCGGUGUAGCGGUGAAAUGCGUAGAGAUCGGGAGGAACAUCAGUGGCGAAGGCGGCCAUCUGGGACAACACUGACGCUGAGGCACGAAAGCGUGGGGAGCAAACAGGAUUAGAUACCCCAGUAGUCCCUGUCUCUUAUACC
rnacentral:rRNA from 1 species